GUCUCGGUAGUCUAAUGAUCAAGACUCUCACAUGGAAUGCAAGAGAUCCGGGUUCGAUCCCCAGCCGAAGUA
rnacentral:tRNA from 1 species